UACAGAGGGUGCGAGCGUUUAAUCGGAAUUACUGGGCGUAAAGCGUGCGUAGACGGUUAUUUAAGUCGGAUGUGAAAGCCCCGGGCUCAACCUGGGAAUUGCAUUCGAGACUGAAUAGCUAGGGACUGGGUAGAGGCGAGCGGAAUUCCUGGUGUAGCGGUGGAAUGCGUAGAUAUCAGGAAGAACACCGGGUGGCGAAGGCGGCUCGCUGGGCCAGAUCCGACACUCAGCCGCGAAAGCCGUGGGGAGCAAACAGG
rnacentral:rRNA from 1 species